rnacentral:rRNA from 1 species
GACGAACGCUGGCGGCGUGCUUAACACAUGCAAGUCGAACGGAGUGGCGAACGGGUGAGUAACACGCGGGUGAUCUGCCUUGCACUCCGGGAUAAGCGUGGGAAACCGGGUCUAAUACCGGAUAGUGCAAGAUGAGCUCGCGGCCUAUCAGCUUGUUGGUGGGGUAAUGGCCUACCAAGGCGUCGAAGGGUAGCCGGCCUGAGAGGGUGUACGGCCGCAUUGGGACUGAGAUACGGCCCAGGCUCCUACGGGGGGCAGCAGUGGGGAAUAGUGCACAAUGGGCGGAAGCCUGAUGCAGCGAGGCCGCGUGGGGGAUGAAGGCCUUCGGGUUGUAAACUCCUUUCGACAGGGACGCGGUACCUGUAUAAGAAGCACCGGCUAACUACGUGCCAGCAGCCGCGGUAAUUC